AGACACUGUAUUGUUUUUUGCUUUAUACACAUAAGCACAUCUUUUGCCUAAGUAGAACAUAAAUGCCUUCAAUUCUAAGAGGAGCCCUGUGCUCUCUUUGGUUCCGGAGACCUUGCUUGAAGCCAGCCAACAUGGCCUUGCACCACAGCCUUCCUGACAUACUUAAGUCCUGUUCCCAGCAGGCCCCAAAAAUCUGCCCCCAAAGUUUAGCAGCAGAAACGACCUCACGGCCACCUUGUUUUUCUUUACUGUAGUGGGAACCUGCCCAGUGUACUGUUUGCUCUGUUCCAUUGUGUUUCCUGAGAGCUCCAGAAGAGCCUCCAUCUCUAAUGAACUGAAUGUAAAACAUCCCUUGGGUUUAUGUGUUUGAAACCGUGGGCCCAAACUUCUGGUGGUGUUUUGGAACGCCGUGGAACUGUUAGAAAAUGUAAAUGAAGAAAAUAACUAAUAAAAAAUUAAAAAAGAAAGAAAGAAAAUGGGGCCUAGCUGGAGGAAAGGAAUUUCUUGGGGAUGGGUCUUGAAGUUUAUAACCUGGCCUGGCUUCCCUCCUCUUUUUUGACUGGUCUGCUAAAAUGUGAGCAAGCACCUAAUGCCUUCCCCACCAUGCUCUGCAGUAUCCCUCAAACCAUGAGCCAGGGUCAAUUCUUCCUCACUUAAAUUGCCUCUUCCAGACAACUGAGGACCAGCAAAGAGGAGAGUAACCAAUGUCUUUCAUUCCUGGCUGUCAAGGAGCAGGUGGCCAACCAAAAACGGGCAUCUCACCAUCCUGAUAAGGAAUUAGUUGGAAGCCUAUAACCUAUAGUGUUUGCAGAGGUAUUGCUGCAUGUAGGUUAAGCGAACCCCACUGUAGAUCUAGGCUGUUAUGUAUAGUGAGGCUGUACUCCAGAGUUUAUUUAAUCCUCUGCUGCUCAGGGAAGAAAGGUGGGUCAGUAUUGUAGUUGUCCCCUGGGUAAUCAUGGUUCCUUUUUCAAGGAAGUGAAGCCCUUGUGUGAGAUGCAGCUCUGGACCUACAGUUCUCUUUCUCUGGCACUGUCAGGAGCUCUCGUGAGAUUGGCAGGACCUUAAGCCACUUGGUUGUCUUUGGGGAUUUGCAUUGCAUAUCUUAAAUGAAGUCAGAAGCAGUAGCCUAUCUUUAGCCAACAGUGGCCAUUCCUGUUAGGCCUUUAAGCCAAUGAACUGUGUCAGGAUACCUGAACUGCGUGCGGGCUGUGGCCUUGAGGAGGGCAGUUCUUUGUCCUUUCUGACUCCAUCUAUGGAGUUCAUGCCUUACUACAGGUGGAAGGGGCUGACCUCAUGAUGUUUCCAUACAACUCAAAGGUUUUUGAUUCCUUGCCAGGGUCUGCUCUGCAGUCUGUCUAAAUCCACAAUGGUCUGUGCUGUGGGCUUCCAUAUGAAUUUAUGAAUGAGGAUUUGAAAAGUCAUCUUUUUGUGUUUUUAGUCUGUCCACAGGCCAGUACUAAUUCUUCUGUUUAAAACUCCUUUCACAAGCUUUUCUGUUCUGAAGUUUUAAGAAGAUGCUGCCAAGCUGUGAAAACAUACUGCUUCCUCUGGAACAGAACUCAUUUAUAUUUUAGCUUUUCUCUUCACGUACACCUUUUAAAAGGUUGAUGUGGGGAGAGCUGUUAUUUAUUUUAUUCUGCCCAUAGAAUUCAAAAUGAGCUCAUCGGUAAAAAGGCAUUAGUGCAGGAUGGCUUCUGCUUAUCAAACUCUAGUGCGUUUAUGAAACACACUCUGAAAUGUUGCUGAAGGUGCACAGCGAGCUAAGGAACGUUAUUAUUUAGUAAUAAUUAUGUAAACUUGCACUUCUCUCACAUCAUAAGGUGGCAAACUUUCUUUUGAAAUAUUGGGUUUUUCAUUAUAAAGCUACUAUAUGGUUAGUGUGUAAAAUGUGAGGAAAUACAGGAAGAUGUAGAAUAGAAGUGAGCUCUCAUGCUCGCUCUCGGUGGUCAUCAACACUUACCGUGUUUUCAGUUGUAUGUCUGUGUGUUAUAUACAAACCUUUUCAAGCAGCAGAGACUAAUACCAGCUGUGUAAUUCUGUAUUAACUAUCAUUAUAUGACUUUUAAAAUAUAAUUUUAUUAUGAAUACUACCAUGAGAAUAUGCUGUAGUUUAUGGAUAUUUAUCUGUCUUUCUAUUUCUAGGCCUGACUUCAUCUAAGAUCAGAUGAAUUCAGGAAGUUUUGGCCACAGUGGCCUAACUGCUUAGUUGACUAUGCUUCCAUAUGCUUCCAGGUUGUACCCAUGAUGAUGGGUGAAUACGUGGAGAAGCAAGUAGGCUGAUUUGACAGAGACCUGCUUACUUGCUUGUUUGUUGUUUAGUUCUCUUGCUUACUUGUUUUGAGAGAGAAAUUCACUGUAUGGCCCAGGCUAGCCUGGAAUGACAUUUUCCUGCCUUAGCCUCCCGAGUGCUGGGAUUAUAGGUGUGAGCAGCCCCACCUGGCUUCAGCUCCAAGCUCACUAUGUGGCUGAAUAUGACCUGGAACUCACAUCUUCUACCCCACCUGGUGAGGGCAGGGUUACCAACCACGCCCGGCUCACUCUGCUUUUGUUGUUAGGCAUUUUAUUUCAAUUUUCAUUUAUCUUUAUUCUUUUAAAUAGUAAGAGAUAGAUAAUAAUAAGAGCAAGAUAAUUACAGUGUUAAGUUUUCUAACUGGCUACUAUUUAUAUACAAGAAAUUCUGAUCAUUUAAAUGGUUUGUGUGUAUUUACCAUGUACAGUAAGAUUUUUCACUCCUGUUAGCAUUUUUUAAUGUGCUUUGACAUUUCAUAAAUGUAUAUAAUACCCUUUGAUCAUCUUCCAUGCCCUAUUGGCAUAUUCUGCUCCUCCCCUACUGUUCCUUUCCGUCUCCACGCCCUCUGUCUACUUCCGUGCAUUAUCUCUAGUGGUUUCUUCUUUUUCUUUAAUUUUUAUUGUUACAUGUGUAUGAACAUAUAAAUAUAUAAAUACAAACUGCUGAAUUUAUACAUUGCUCAUAUGUAUAUUUUUAGGGCUGACCAGUGGUAUUGGCUAACCAUUUUAGGGACUUGUCCCUGGAUAAGACUGGUUCUCUCCAUUUCAGCAGUCACUGGUAAUUGAUAGCUUCUCGUCUAGGGAUGAGGCCUUGUGAGAUCUCCCCCAUUGUUGGCAUGUCAACUGGUGUUGUCAUUGCUUAGGUCUUGUUUGUGCAGCCAUAAUGUUGAGAUUUCACAGGUUCAGCUUCCAUGUCAUAUAUAGAGGAUAUAAUCUCAAAGCAGACAUCUUGGUCCUUUGUGGCAUUGAAAUCCUCACACUUGCUUUGUCCUUGAUGUUUCCUGAGUCAUAAAUAUAAGGGCUGUGGUACAGAUGUAUCAGUUGGGGCUGAGGACCCAAUUAAAUGUUCUCUGCAUUUUGAGCAGUUGGGGCUUUCUGUAAUAGUCUCUAUCUCCU
rnacentral:lncRNA from 1 species